UUGGGCUCACUUACAGGAACAUGAGUUACAUACAGGAAGAAUGGGUACCCACAAGCAGCCACACCAUCAAAACGUCUCAUGUCAGCAUGGAUGAUGACUUCCCCAUAGCCACGUAAAUGGCAUGCCUCUUAUGAACCUUCCACUUUCCAUAUUCUCUGGCAACUUCCAAGAUCAUGUGAAGCUGGGGAGGAAUUAUGUACAGCUUGGAGGAGGGGGUGGCCGGAAUCUCAGCACACACUCAGGAGGCCAAGACAGGAGGAUCUUACAGCUUAGGCCAGCCUGGGCUACAGAAUGACGGAAGAAGACCUCAUUUCAAAAAGUAACCGGUUCCCUCUAAUACUUCUCUGCUGUUGCCGAUCAUCAGAAGACCUAGAAUGC
rnacentral:lncRNA from 1 species